UGAUCUUGAUGUGGUGUGAAGCUUUGUUCUAAGAUAUUACCCAUGCUUGUUUAAAAUAGUACCGAUUUUUGGUAUAAUUUGCGGAUAGCUCAUUAAAAAAUCUGUAACAUACAGUAUAGUGGAAUUUUUACACGGAUAAACCGGUAACUCCACCAAUAAUAAGUGCAUUUAUAACAUCGGACUCAAUAAAUAAAGGAAGAUGGCAUUUAUUAGCUUUGAACCAACUAUUAUGAUGGGAGUUUUACGACUUCUAUUAUAAGUAUAGUGAGUUCUAAUAAUUCAGUGGACCUUUUUUUAUUUUUUAUAAAAGAAGGCAAAUACUAUUGACAGAUUAUGUAUUAGCUUGAUAGGAGGGUAGUGGCCUCCUAUGGCAUUGAUGCUAACGGAGAUCUAGAGAUUGAUUCCGGAGAGUUGACCUGAGAAAUCGUCAACACUACUAAGGUAGGCAGCAGGGACGCAAAUUGUUCACUGACAAAACGUCGAAACAGUAACCAACUGUAAUAAUUUAUUCAAAGUUUAUUCUUUGUGAUAAAUCAUUAAUAAAAUAUUUAUUCAAACCCAUUUUGGGAAAAAGAUGGCCAUAGCUUUGCCAGCAGCAGCGGUAAUAAUGCAUCUUUGAGUUUGACAUCCAAUUAUUGCAAUUAAAACGUUCGUAGUUGGUAUUAUUAUUUCAAUUAUUAGUUAUGAUUUGGUAAAACAAGUCAUUUUAAGUUAUGCAAAUUUUUAAUUUGUUUUAACAGCUAAUAUUUUUUAUUGAAGUAACAUGUAUUAUCUCUUUAUUCUAUGUAAGUAAGGGGGUAAUAUUUUACCAUGAGAAAAAGAGAACGCUAUAAGUGGGCUCUAAUGCUUGAAUCAUUUAGCAUGGAAUAAACACAACAGGCUUUUAUCGCUUUCAUUUCCCUUUAAACGGGAAGUGAAAGUGAUAGUAUUUAUAUAGUUAUGGAAACAUAAUUAUAUGAAUAUUUGAAUUUUGUUGGUAAGUUGGUUUUUCAUAUUCAAGUCAUGAUCGAUAAGGAUGGUUGAGGAGGUGUUUGGAUUCCACAGUUAGAGGUGAAAUUUGAUGAUCUGUGAGAGGACAAACUAAAGCGAAAGCAUUCAUCAAUUACAUUCUUUUUAAUCAAGAACGAAAGUCUGGGUAGAGAAGACGAUUAGAUACCGUUGUAUUCUAGACCAUAAACGAUGAUAUUUCAAGAUAUUAUUUAUGGAAUGUUUUUAGUCCUGGGGGGUCAAAUCCCCAACUAAAAAGUAAUAAAAUUUCUAUUGUUCAUUUAUUAUUUGUAUUUUUUGAAUACAAUAAUUACUCGACAAAUAAUGAAUUGUGUGGGAAACCAUUAAAAUUUCUUUGUGGAGUGUAUGUUAGCAAUGAUGAAAUUUAAAAGAAUUGACGGAAGUACCACCACAAUGGAAUGGAUUAUGCGAUUUAAAUUGACUCAACGCGUGGAAUCUUACCAGUGCCGAACACCGUGAGGAAAGACAGAUUGCAGCUCUUUCUUGAUUCUGUGCUUGUUAAAUGUAGUGCAUGGCCUUUGGGAAGUGAAUGGAUUGAUUUUUCUGAUUGAUUUCGAUAAUUAGCGAGACCCAAACCUUGUUUUUUCCUUCUUUGUAAAAAGAGGAGGAAAAAAGUUAUGUAAAUACAACUUGAUAAGAAAUUUUUCUUACCAGAUCAAUUUAAAGCCCGUUAAAACGGCUUUAGAUAGUUGUUCUUAGAGGGACUACUUGUGCUUUAGCAAGUGGAAGCUUUGGGCGAUAAAAGGUCCGUGAUGCUCUUAGAUGUUCUGGGCUAUACGCGUGAUACACUGAUUUAUUCAACAAGUUUUUUGUAUUUUUAGAUUUUAUUUGGGGGGAAAGAAGAUUUAUCUCUUCUCUCUUCAGAUACUAAAAUGCCCCUGAUUCGAGAGGAUUGGGAAAUCUUUGAAAAUAGAUCGUGCUGGGGAUUGAAGAUUGUAAUUAUUCUUCAUGAACGAGGAAUUCCUAGUAAGCGCACGUCAUCAUCGUGCAUUGAAUACGUUUCUGGUCUUUGUACACACCGCCCGUCGCUGUUACCGAUUGAUUAUUUUGAUGAGUAUUGGGGAGUUUUUUUUUGUUCAAGUUUGCGCUUGACUUGAAGAGAUAAACCACUUCAAAUCACUGUAAUUAGAGGAAGCAAAAGUCGUAACAAGGUUUCGGUAGGUGAACCU
rnacentral:rRNA from 1 species